rnacentral:misc_RNA from 1 species
GUCCGUAAAGGUGGAUGAGUGGUGUUUGGUUUGUCACGUGUGGUUGGCUGCGGCGUUUGCAACAACUUCCAUGCUUUCAGACCUCUUCAGUUGUGCGGCAAGGCUUGUAUCGCCUUGYUGUAUUGUGGGUUUUCUGUGUUGAAUACCUAAUCAAUGGUAUCGGUUGGAUUGAUCAAUGUUUCAUUUCGUCUGUCGUCGCAUUCGCGGCGUGAGACGAACCUCGAUGCGGUCUCUUUGGCCCACCUCGUCGAAGCACAUGCUUUGACGUUGUGGCACAUUGAGCAUUGCUUGGUCUCUUGUAUACGGAACAUAUAGUGGGCAUGGAUCUAACGAUUCUUGUUUGCCCUCAUGUUAGCGUAACGCUUCUCUUACACGACUUGCUCCACGUUUUAGCUCGUACGGACGUGGU